rnacentral:rRNA from 1 species
UACAGAGGGGGCAAGCGUUAUUCGGAAUUAUUGGGCGUAAAGGGCGCGUAGGCGGCCUUGCAAGUGACGGGUGAAAUCCCUCGGCUUAACCGAGGAACUGCCUGUCAAACUGCGUGGCUUGAGACCAGGAGAGGUGAGUGGAAUUCCCAGUGUAGCGGUGAAAUGCGUAGAUAUUGGGAGAACACCAGUGGCGAAGGCGGCUCACUGGACUGGUACUGACGCUGAUGCGCGAAAGCGUGGGGAGCAAACAGG